AAUAAUUCAUAAUAAUGUAUACAAAUCACUAAAUUGACACAUUUAAAUCUAGUGCCAUCCUUUUCCUCAGGGAGUAUUAUGAAAGGGAUUGCAAUAGAUAUAGACCUGUCACUAUAGUUUAGUUUAGAGAUUGUGCUUCAACAGAAUCA